GUGCCAGCAGCCGCGGUGAUACGUAGGGUGCAAGCGUUAAUCGGAAUUACUGGGCGUAAAGCGUGUGUAGGCGGUUCGGAAAGAAAGAUGUGAAAUCCCAGGGCUCAACCUUGGAACUGCAUUUUUAACUGCCGAGCUAGAGUAUGUCAGAGGGGGGUAGAAUUCCACGUGUAGCAGUGAAAUGCGUAGAUAUGUGGAGGAAUACCGAUGGCGAAGGCAGCCCCCUGGGAUAAUACUGACGCUCAGACACGAAAGCGUGGGGAGCAAACAGGAUUAGAUACCCUGGUAGUCCACGCCCUAAACGAUGUCAACUAGCUGUUGGGGCCGUUAGGCCUUAGUAGCGCAGCUAACGCGUGAAGUUGACCGCCUGGGGAGUACGGUCGCAAGAUUAAAACUCAAAGGAAUUGACGGGGACCCGCACAAGCGGUGGAUGAUGUGGAUUAAUUCGAUGCAACGCGAAAAACCUUACCUACCCUUGACAUGUCUGGAAUGCCGAAGAGAUUUGGCAGUGCUCGCAAGAGAACCAGAACACAGGUGCUGCAUGGCUGUCGUCAGCUCGUGUCGUGAGAUGUUGGGUUAAGUCCCGCAACGAGCGCAACCCUUGUCAUUAGUUGCUACGCAAGAGCACUCUAAUGAGACUGCCGGUGACAAACCGGAGGAAGGUGGGGAUGACGUCAAGUCCUCAUGGCCCUUAUGGGUAGGGCUUCACACGUCAUACAAUGGUCGGGACAGAGGGUCGCCAACCCGCGAGGGGGAGCCAAUCUCAGAAACCCGAUCGUAGUCCGGAUCGCAGUCUGCAACUCGACUGCGUGAAGUCGGAAUCGCUAGUAAUCGCGGAUCAGAAUGUCGCGGUGAAUACGUUCCCGGGUCUUGUACACACCGCCCGUCACACCAUGGGAGUGGGUUUCACCAGAAGUAGGUAGCCUAACCGCAAGGAGGGCGCU
rnacentral:rRNA from 1 species